GGAGAUGAAGUUUAUCAAGCUGUCCCCCCAACCCCCAGCUUACCUCAAAUCACUAUAAUCCUUCAGGUCUCAGCCUCCUGAGUAACUAUGAUUAUAGCCAUGCGAUAUCAGUGCCUUGGCCAAGUUCAGAUUGUUAGCAAAGCAGGAAUUUCAGGCCCAUUUCUCUUUCUAUUGACAAUGUGACAAAAAGCAAUUCAACCCCCCCCUCAACAUACAAAACAGCAAAAAACUCCAAACCUAAAAUUAACUGAGUAAUAUAUGUAUGACAGUCAGUCAAGUAGGAAGAAGCAGGGAGGAACGGCCAUGCCUCUCAAAAGCACUGGAAAAAUCACAGGUGCUUAACUUACCUCUUAACAAGCAAAUCCUUCUACUUUAGUGCGUUCAAAGAUUCCAGCCAACCAGACACUCGAGGUGGCUGGUCUCAUACCAAAUCUUUUGAGGUAGGAAUGGGCAAUUGUUUUUCAAUCCAGAGACACCUCUGUUUCUUCCUUCCCCACUCCCUCCUUCCUUCCCCUUCUUCUCUUUUCUGUUUUUCUUUUUGCCAAGACUGGGUUGUGAGUUACCAACCGGCUCCCUUGCUUGAUCAUAGAGCCACACCUGGUUAAUUGGAAAUGGAGUCUUAAAAAGUUUUCUUCCCAGGUAGGCUUUGAACGGUGACCCUCCAGAUCUUAGCCUCCUGCAUAGCUAAUCGGUAUGAGUCAGAAAGUGCCUGGCUGCAAAGGCUUCUUGACUUAUCCGUUCUCUUAAGCAGAAUCUUAAUAAUGCUUGUGGUACCUAAGUUUGAAAAAACUGAUUUUUACCAGUCUGAUUCCCUAGUGGUACCUGAAGAUUCUCCUGUCUGCAUAGCAAAUCUAAUUAUCUUUCUCCUUUGCAUAAAACUGUUAUGGUUCUCCAUUGUCAUCAAUAAAGUCCAUCUUUGUGUGUGUGUGUGUGUGUGUGUGUGUGUGUGUGUGUGU